GACGAAGGGGGCUAGCGUUGUUCGGAAUUACUGGGCGUAAAGCGCGUGUAGGCGGUUGCCCAAGUCGGGUGUGAAAGCCUUGAGCUCAACUCAAGAAAUGCACUCGGUACUGGGUGACUAGAGGACCGGAGAGGAUAGUGGAAUUCCCAGUGUAGUGGUGAAAUACGUAGAGAUUGGGAAGAACACCAGUGGCGAAGGCGGCUAUCUGGACCGGAACUGACGCUGAGGCGCGAAAGCGUGGGUAGCAAACGGG
rnacentral:rRNA from 1 species